rnacentral:rRNA from 1 species
GCAAGUCGAACGAGAGAGAGGGAGCUUGCUUCCUUGAUCGAGUGGCGAACGGGUGAGUAACGCGUGAGGAACCUGCCUCAAAGAGGGGGACAACAGUUGGAAACGACUGCUAAUACCGCAUAAGCCCACGGCUCGGCAUCGAGCGGAGGGAAAAGGAGCAAUCCGCUUUGAGAUGGCCUCGCGUCCGAUUAGCUAGUUGGUGAGGUAAUGGCCCACCAAGGCGACGAUCGGUAGCCGGACUGAGAGGUUGAACGGCCACAUUGGGACUGAGACACGGCCCAGACUCCUACGGGAGGCAGCAGUGGGGAAUAUUGCACAAUGGGGGAAACCCUGAUGCAGCGACGCCGCGUGGAGGAAGAAGGUCUUCGGAUUGUAAACUCCUGUUGUUGAGGAAGAUAAUGACGGUACUCAACAAGGAAGUGACGGCUAACUACGUGCCAGCAGCCGCGGUAAAACGUAGGUCACAAGCGUUGUCCGGAAUUACUGGGUGUAAAGGGAGCGCAGGCGGGCGAUCAAGUUGGAAGUGAAAUCCAUGGGCUCAACCCAUGAACUGCUUUCAAAACUGAUUGUCUUGAGUAGUGCAGAGGUAGGCGGAAUUCCCGGUGUAGCGGUGGAAUGCGUAGAUAUCGGGAGGAACACCA